rnacentral:lncRNA from 1 species
UCAGGCCUUACCACAGGCUUGUCUAGCUCAAAGGUCCAUCUCGGUUCAAUUGACGGUGCAGCUGGCAGCUCAACUUGCCCUAGACAUUCAUCAACUCCCAUACCUGUUUCUUUCAUGAAUUGCAAUACUUGUGCUUGUUGAUCCAAGGGCAUUGCUGCUAUCUUUUUAGCAUUGUUUUUUGGUAGAUGCCCGAGGUCGGGGACAACACCACUAGAAGAUGACUUUCCUUUCCUUUUUUC